rnacentral:misc_RNA from 1 species
AGCUUAUUUUCAUCGAUCUAAAGGUAUUGCCCUCCUUAAAUAUUAGUAAUCUACACUGCACCUGAGUAUACAAACUCAAAAAUUUUCAGGUUUAUCCUGGGGCACAAAAUGGGUCGAACGUGAUGCACUUAAUAAAGACGACGAUUCCUGGGUCCACGAUUACCAUAUGAAUUAGUGCGACACCGUGAAAAGAAACAGUCACGCUAUCCUAGUCACGAAUACACACCCGCACAUAUCGCAGCUAUCUUUUGUGUGUGGUGUGAAAACACUCACAUGAACACGUAAAGAAGAAUUCAUACGGAAGGAUUAACCAAGAAAAGGAGUAUCAAAGAAGUUCAGGUUCCCUUAAAAGUCCAGAUACGCACGAGGCAGCCAUAAUUUAUUACAUUCACGACGAUUCGUUUUACGCAGAGCGUUUGUCGCUGCUAAAAAUGACAAUGCGGAUGCCUGUAUCACUUUCGAUAUCCUGAAAAUGGCACGGCCUUGUAUUUAAGCGUCGUAAUAAUGUCAUUAUUAACGUUGAGAAUUUUACGGCCCGUUAAUUUUCGCCACGUUUUUCUUCCGGACAGUGAAUAAAUUAGUUUCAUUGAGCAAGGGAUUGUGCCGUAAACAAAGAGCAACUCUUAAAUAGCAAAUCAAAGAAACCGGUCUUUGAAGAUUUUUAAACUGCAUUAGUUAGCUGUGCAUCGAUGUUAAGAGAGUUUAUGAUGGGCUCAGCGACUUUAUGGUGAUUUGUCUUUUCGAAAUAAUACGCGGUUUUUACUGGAUUUUUGAAUGCUACAAUUUUUACACACUUGUUCGGUGAUUCAGUUACAAUCUGAUAUAGUAUAAUAUCUGUUCGUACUUUUUCGUUAUUUCAUUUUUGAUAUUAUUUGUGUGUUAAAUUAACU